rnacentral:sRNA from 24 species
UGACCACUUUCCUCGGGGAGUCAAGGCCAUACGGACAGCCGGGUCAAAUGCCGA